GGCUAGGGGGUCAUCCCGACUUACCAACCCUUUGCAAACUCCGAAUACCAGUAAGUACUAUCCGGGAGACACACGGCGGGUGCUAACGUCCGUCGUGGAGAGGGAAACAACCCAGACCGCCAGCUAAGGUCCCAAAUUACUACUAAGUGGGAAACGAUGUGGGAAGGCUCAGACAGCCAGGAUGUUGGCUUAGAAGCAGCCAUCAUUUAAAGAAAGCGUAAUAGCUCACUGGUCGAGUCGGCCUGCGCGGAAGAUGUAACGGGGCUAAGUAGUAAACCGAAGCUGCGGCAAUAUACUUUUGUAUAUUGGGUAGGGGAGCGUUCUGUAAGCGGUUGAAGGUGUGUGGUAACGCAUGCUGGACGUAUCAGAAGUGCGAAUGCUGACAUGAGUAACGAUAAAGGGGGUGAAAAACCUCCUCGCCGGAAGACCAAGGGUUCCUGUCCAACGUUAAUCGGGGCAGGGUAAGUCGACCCCUAAGGCGAGGCCGAAAGGCGUAGUCGAUGGGAAACGGGUUAAUAUUCCCGUACUUCUUACAAUUGCGAUGGGGGGACGGAGAAGGCUAGGUGGGCCUGGCGACGGUUGUCCAGGUUCAAGUGCGUAGGCUUAAGAGUUAGGUAAAUCCGGCUCUUUUUAAGGCUGAGACACGACGUCGAGCCACUACGGUGGUGAAGUCAUUGAUGCCAUGCUUCCAGGAAAAGCCUCUAAGCUUCAGAUUGUAAGGAAUCGUACCCCAAACCGACACAGGUGGUCGGGUAGAGAAUACCAAGGCGCUUGAGAGAACUCGGGUGAAGGAACUAGGCAAAAUGGUACCGUAACUUCGGGAGAAGGUACGCUCUCGACGGUGAAGUCCCUCGCGGAUGGAGCUAUUGAGAGUCGCAGAUACCAGGUGGCUGCAACUGUUUAUUAAAAACACAGCACUGUGCAAAAUCGUAAGAUGACGUAUACGGUGUGACGCCUGCCCGGUGCCGGAAGGUUAAUUGAUGGGGUUAGACUUCGGUCGAAGCUCUUGAUCGAAGCCCCGGUAAACGGCGGCCGUAACUAUAACGGUCCUAAGGUAGCGAAAUUCCUUGUCGGGUAAGUUCCGACCUGCACGAAUGGCGUAAUGAUGGCCACGCUGUCUCCACCCGAGACUCAGUGAAAUUGAAAUCGCUGUGAAGAUGCAGUGUACCCGCGGCUAGACGGAAAGACCCCGUGAACCUUUACUACAGCUUGGCACUGAACAUUGACCCUACAUGUGUAGGA
rnacentral:rRNA from 1 species